CAGGUACGGCCCUGAGAAGCAGCGGUGGUUCACAAAAACCCGGGAGCAGCAGAAGCGGCCGUUCGCUGCGCCUGACCAGGAAAUAGACGGACGUUAGCAGAAGGACGACAGAAACACAACAAGGAGACGACGUCUUAAUGCCACAGAAACGGAACAAACAGACAGUUUAAAGCGACGGCUGCUGCUGCGUUACUGUGGCGAGGGAAGUGAGCAGAGGGAAUACCUUCCAGCCGCAGCCACAGCAGGCGGCCGCGGACCCGACUGAUCCGGGCCACACACACUUCCUCCGGACG